rnacentral:rRNA from 1 species
UACGUAGGUGGCGAGCGUUGUCCGGAUUUACUGGGCGUAAAGGGCGUGCAGGCGGUUUGUUAAGUGCAGGGUGAAAGCUCCCGGCUCAACUGGGAGAGGUCCUUGCAUACUGGCGAACUCGAGGGAGGCAGAGGAAAGUGGAAUUCCCGGUGUAGUGGUGAUAUGCGUAGAUAUCGGGAGGAACACCUGUGGCGAAGGCGGCUCACUGGCUCGACACUGACGCUGAGGUGCGAAAGCGUGGGGAGCAAACAGG